rnacentral:misc_RNA from 1 species
UGUGGGAGGGGGCUUGCUCCCGAUAGCGAUGUGUCAGUUAACACAUUUGAACCUGAUUCACCGCUAUCGGGAGCAAGCCCCCUCCCACA